rnacentral:tRNA from 1 species
GAGGGUAUAGCUCAAUGGUAGAGCUCAUGCACAGGGUCCUGGGUUCAAUCCCCAGUACCUCCA